rnacentral:misc_RNA from 1 species
AGUUAUUCCCAGGGUUUUUGUUUUAUCUUUAACAUUGAUUUUAUUUUUUAUGUUUUUAGAUGUUCAUGUUUUUGAAUGUUUUAUUCAAAUAAUAUAAAAAAUAAAAUAUAUAUUGACAUGGAUUAAACAAAGAUAUAUAUUAUUCUAUGUUGUAUAAACAAAUUGGCAA